rnacentral:lncRNA from 1 species
UGUGCUGCAUUUAAAUUGUAUCGACUUACGUGACGAGCAUAAAAACUCAGAGUCCAAAAACUUUCAAUCCGGAUCAAGACGCCGCCGUGGAAAAUUGACUACUUAUAACGUGAACUCUGCCGUGCUAAGAAAGAACGCCGUAUAAGCCAAGAGGCGUUGCCAAAAUUCCUUCGACAGAUAUGAGUUUUGAGGAAAAUUUGAGAAAAGUUAUCUUCCGAUUACUGGAAGGAUUUUAUUCGUAAUUACUACUAAAAAUUCUGAAAAUUUCAAGGAAAAUAUAUUCAUAGCUUUCAUCAAAAAUAAAUAUUUUAUGAGGGGAAAUUUGGCAACAUCCGAACGCUCAUACUGCGUUUUAACGUAACAUGUCAAAACUCCUCACCAACCAUUCUUAUGAGCAGGUGACUUUGAAUGUUUUUUCUUUCAACAUAUGAUUUCCCCUCCGCGUGGAUCUGAAAAAUUUGAGGCUAUGUUUUUGUUUCAUUAAAUUUUUCUCAAAAUGAGUAAUUUUUUCUCUUGAAUAAUUAUCCUUGAAAAAUUGUUUUGUUACCCACCAAUCCAUUUAAGUUUGUAAAAUCUGUUAAAUUAUUGCGAGUUAAGUUUCUUAAUGUACGACUGUUCCGUGCGAGAAUUUUUCCAUUUAAUCUCAAAGUUGUUCCUGUAGACAUAACCUUACAGCAAAGCAGCGGAAUCAUGUGUGUAAAAGUCUUACGUAGUUUAGAAUAUUGAUAGAAUAUGAAAUUCCAAGCAAAUUAGUUGUCAGAUAGGUGAGCCGAAUGCAGACGAUGCCGGAGGUUUGGAUCCCAAGGGACAAGCAAAGAUGAGGGGGGAUCGAUUGAAUUUUGAAGACACUCCGUUGAAAAGUCGCUCCCAUGCAACCUACAGAAACAAACGUAUUACGAGCUUGGAGCAAUUCGUCCAGCAGAUACCUCCGUCACUCCUGCGCAAGACCUCUUCACAAAAGCCCGCACUGCGGCAGGAUGAGAGGAAUUUAGAUGUGAGAACAGAAAAUAGUCGGGGCGAUGCCAGAGGUGGAAAUGGCACACUCUUCCUGCAAGGCCUCUCGAGCCUGAAAGCUAAUUUGAAGAACAGAUCACAGUUUACGGAGAAACCAGUAUCAGGCAGUGUAUUAAAGUGUCCUCUUUCCUCCUCUGGUGUACUCAGUGAAGGAAACCAAAAGAGAAAACAAGAUGACACCGCGCGACGGUUAUAUCCUAAAAGGAGAGUACAUGAAAGAAAAAAUGCCAGCGAAAAAAUCACAACAUCGAAAAGCACUUCGAGUAUGGUAAGUGGCUCAAAUAAAUUUCAAGGGACUACUUUCGAUGGCGUUUUAUGAUUUUUUUUAUGCUUGUUUGUACUUUUAAUAAUGAUUAUCGUAACCAAAAAUCAAUAUCAACAAUACAAUUUCACAACGACGCACUCCCGAUCUUAACCUUUCCAUUCUCUUAAGCGCAAGAAUAAAAUCCCUGAAAAAGACAGGUUUGCGUUUGAAGGGGUGACAGUCGAAGGGAUUUAACUGAAUGUAUGUUUGUAAGUUCUAUUUGAGCAUCCAAGAGGCCGGCUAUAAAUUUUCUUUCCAAGUUUUGUGUGAAUUUUCUCUGUAACUUAGAGAAACAUUUCCCGAAAUUUUGGAGGCGGAACAGUCACUCGUUGAUGGGUUCAAAAUUAAGUUGCCUGCUGAAACUUUGAAACGAUACGACGCAAUUAAGCCCUUAUAGCUGUCACUCUAUCAUUGACAUGAGCUCACGAAAACGUAUGGUUAUUGUUUUUGUAUGAUAAGGAAUUCCCUCCAGCACCACUACAAUUUCCCCCUUCUUUCAGGUUAUCUCGUUAUACAUAUGAAAUGUAUCUCAGCGCGGUGUCGUAAGCUGAAGUAUACAUAUGUGUAUUUCUAGAAAAUAAAAAUACAGGCCAAUAGUAAUAAAAUAUGUUAUAGUCAUGCUUUUGGCGUGAAAUUCUUAGAUAUACUUCAGUGCAUAUUCAAAACUCAAAAUUAUUGCUUCUGAAGGUCAAGGAAAUGCUGCCACCUUGCCCCUCGUGACAUCUGGAAGUCAAACAGGGAGUGUAAGAAGCAAGUCUUUUUCUCACUCUUGUCAUCUUCCCGAUCCGUCAGAUGGCUCUGAAAUAGAUGCAAUUUUGGCGGUAAGUUAACCAAGAAGUAUUUUGUUGAUAUCUUUUAGGUUUUACUCUUCAGUCUCAUAGCAGUAACACGUAUACGACUCCUCUGCUUGCAUCGUAUUCUUGCAAUCUACCUUCGUUGAAUUUUGUACCCAAAGAGAAUAGUACGCGGCUCGCGUCUCAUGGCUGUUUGACCUUCCAAUAGCAGAGGUUGCAUAGCUUUAAAAUGAAGGGGUUCCCAGUUUCUCCAUUGAUAUUUUCUCGUUAAAGCAUAUAUAGAGACUGAUUAUUUUAAAGGCCUAUUCAAUCCUGAGCUUAGACAAUCAUGGCGGAGUAGGUUGACAUUUUUCGUAAAAUUGAUUAGAUACGUGUAGGUAUAUUCGAAAAAAAUUAUUUUUACUGUUUCACGUCGACUAUUUGUAAGGAAAAAUGCCAACAAAACGGAUUUUAGCUACAGCAAACUUUUUAAGACUGGUGUUCAUUCUCUCUGUCUAUUAGUUAAUCAAAAAGGUAACGCAUAAGCUUAAAACUAAUAAUAUGGAACGUUUAAGUUUGUGAAUUUAUUAAGUAUUUCUAGUGCGAAUGAACAUUCUAUCGAUUUUUUACCGUAUACGUUGGUCACCGUUUUUCAGAGGUUGUUGAAAG